UGACUAUACAAAGGUAUUGUAAUAAGAUUUUAAUUGAAUGCUAAGAGAAUGGAAAUUUAAAAAAAAACUUUUUUAAAAAUAAAAAUUAAAUUUUUUUUAAUUUGUGCAAAAACAAUUAUUGUUAUUAAAGACAAGAAGACCCUAAGAAUUUAAGAUUAAAAAUUAAAAAAUUUUUUAAUUUUUAAUCUUGAUUGGGGCGAUCAAAAAAUAUUAAUAACUUUUAAAAAUUUAAAUUGAUCUAUUAUUAAUAAAUAAAUGAAUUAAAUACUCUAGGGAUAACAGCGUAAUAAUUUUUGAUAGAUCUUAUUGACAAAAUAGUUUGCGACCUCGAUGUUGGAUUAGGAUUCUUUUUUAAUGAAGAAGUUAAAAAAAGAAGUUUGUUCAACUUUUAAAUUCCUACUUGAUCUGA
rnacentral:rRNA from 1 species